rnacentral:piRNA from 1 species
UACUAUGCUUCAGUGCAGAAUUAGGAUUGCC